GACGAACGCUGGCGGCGUGCUUAACACAUGCAAGUCGAACGGGAAGGCCCCCUUGUGGGGUACUCGAGUGGCGAACGGGUGAGUAACACGUGAGUAACCUACCCUUGACUUUGGGAUAACUUCAGGAAACUGGGGCUAAUACCGGAUAGGAGCUCCUGCUGCAUGGUGGGGGUUGGAAAGUUUCGGCGGUUGGGGAUGGACUCGCGGCUUAUCAGCUUGUUGGUGGGGUAGUGGCUCACCAAGGCUUUGACGGGUAGCCGGCCUGAGAGGGUGACCGGCCACAUUGGGACUGAGAUACGGCCCAGACUCCUACGGGAGGCAGAAGUGGGGAAUAUUGCACAAUGGGCGGAAGCCUGAUGCAGCAACGCCGCGUGCGGGAUGACGGCCUUCGGGUUGUAAACCGCUUUCGCCUGUGACGAAGCGUGAGUGACGGUAAUGGGUAAAGAAGCACCGGCUAACUACGUG
rnacentral:rRNA from 1 species